rnacentral:piRNA from 1 species
UGAGUGUACUUUUAAAGUCUGUGUCCUGGAA